UGAGACAGUUCGGUCCCUAUCUGCCGUGGACGUUUGAGAUUUGAGAGGGGCUGCUCCUAGUACGAGAGGACCGGAGUGGACGAACCUCUGGUGUUCCGGUUGUCACGCCAGUGGCAUUGCCGGGUAGCUAUGUUCGGAAAAGAUAACCGCUGAAAGCAUCUAAGCGGGAAACUUGCCUCAAGAUGAGAUCUCACUGGGACCUUGAGUCCCCUGAAGGGCCGUCGAAGACUACGACGUUGAUAGGCAGGGUGUGUAAGCGCUGUGAGGCGUUGAGCUAACCUGUACUAAUUGCCCGUGAGGCUUGACCAU
rnacentral:rRNA from 1 species